ACCCAGGCGCCCCACUGACAGGAAAAUCAAUGGGCAGAUCUGAUGAUAUCCAGCUCACAUUGGAAAAAUCUAACUGCAAAACCAUUUGACAUCCCAUGGUUUGGAGUACGAGUCAAAAUUUACAUCCAUGCUGAAUUUUACUAAAACUAUAACCUCAUUUGUGGCAAUUAGUUUCAUGUAACAUCCAGUUUCUACUAAAGGACAUUCUGGAAGGUAUUCUGACAAAGAGUGGAGCAUUACUUGUUUUUAUCUGACCGCUAAUAAUCAAAUUCCAGCCAGUCUGCAAGCUUUGGUCAAAAAUAAGUGUCACUUAAUUGUCUAAUAAAUUAUUUUCUAUGG